AGGAAAUGAGAGUAACAAGGCAAGCAAAGAUAAAACUGGGUCUCAAAUAUCUGCACUAAUUGCCAAGAUAGUUAAGGAUAAAGCAACUUCUUAUGGUUUGUCAACCACUUGGAUGAAGCAGACUCUCCGUAUCUUCUGCACAAUUUGCUUUCCACUCAAUUUAGUAACAUCAGCAAAAAUAAAACAUCGGCUGACUAAUUGUCGUGAAUGUGGUUGAAGUCACCAGAGAGGCACUGAACCUGGUGAUAUAAAAGUCUUUAUUCAUCACAACAAGCAGGCAUCGUUCUACAGACCCUCUCGGUAGAGGUUCCCAAACCCAAAGGCAACAGUUCACUUUCCAUGCCAUGACAGAAGAUUAUCGGAAUGAACUUGACAAUCAGUGUUUUUGAUUGAUCUAUUAGAGGACUUAGCGUGGUCUCUAUUUGCAUAACUACAAGGACCUCAUACCGGACUGUCCGUUCAAUUGCUGGUUCAAACACUGAAAGGGUGCUGGUUUUUUUUGUGUUCGUUCACGUUCAGCUGGGGUGACUGCCUCUGAUGCUGUGUGCAACAUCUCUCCUUUCUUAGUCUGCCUUGCCACCAAGGUUAUGGAAUUUGAUGUCUCUGCCUUAACUCGGAUCCUUUCCCAUCUUUUUCCCCAAUAUCUUUCUAUUAAAGUAAUACAACUAAUCAUCUAACACCAAGAACCAGCCUUCAUUACAAAGUAUAGCUAACAGUUUAAACUAUACUUGUGGUUUCCUGACACACUCCUGCUUCUGCACUUGUGCUUCCGUUCUCUUUCAUCUGUGGGUCUGCUUCCAGCAGAUGUUGCACAGCAUGCUGGUGUUCAUCACUUAGAUUCUCUGUAAUGCAGUCCUGUGUAUAACUUCUCCUGUUCGUAGCUACUUUCCCACUUGUCAAAUCUCCGGUCCAGUGCUUCUAAUUUACCUCAGCACCGUCCUCACCAAUUAUUCCCAUGGCUGCUGCCCCGCGAGCCCCACCUGCUGGGCCUUAUCCCACUUAGCUCUCAGUCUGCCCAGAUCCCUGACAAAUUCAUUCCUGUGUUGUUCUAAUUGUUCUGCUUGAUUUUCAUCCACGUUUCUCUCUUUGUAAGUGUUCUAACUGUCCAGUUCAACUUGUACAUUAUCUCACUGUUCUCUGUAUUCAUCUCUUUUCUUCUGUAACUCUAUUUGUAUAUUAUGUGAUUCAGGCACUCUGUUCUUUCUUGCAAAUAUUCAUUUACAUAGACUGACUGUUGCAUUAUCUCCCUUCCUGUUUGAUUGGGUUUUCCACCACUACCAAUGUUCCAGGUGUUAACCAACCUGGCUUUGUGCAUUCCCUGUUGAACCUUCUCAAAUUUAUGGAGUAUAUGCUCUAUGAGUUCUCCACUCUUCAUAAUUAAGUCCAUGAUGUUGCUGCAUCCCUUUUAUGUAGAAAGUUCAAUAUUUCUUCACUAUCACCCACCUUAGGCUUUGAUUCUCAGGGCUUCCCACAUACACUCACACACACAUAAACAAUUCCCAAACAAGUAUACAAGCUUCCUCUGGUGUCCCAAAUGGUAUCUCCCACACGACCCAAAUGUCCUCAGUAGCCAUACUACACUUACUGAACAAGUAGACACGCACCCUCUAGAGUCCCAAAUGAUUUCUUCCACAAUAUCCUAGUGCUCUCAGUAGCCACUGUUACGAGAAUACACAUAAAAUUAAGAUGUUUGCUGGCCUGGGCUAGCAUCAGUGGCAUCAGCAGUUGGUCUGCCACCUGCCCUCAGGGGAAGGAGAGAUAAGGAACAAUGGAGCAGCGUCUGGAGAUGUGUAAUGAAGGGAUGUGGGAGGAAGAGCUGUCUGGAGCGGCUCCCCCCUUUGAACCCUGAACUGUUUGAAGUGAUGGACAGGCGAUACCCCAGCAGGGGGAUAAAAAGGGACAGGUUCGCUAAGACAGACACACACGCCACCCGAGGUAACGAGACCCUGGAAGCGGUGCGCUUCUCACGAGUGGGUGAGAAGUCCCAGACAACGACAAGGGUGGAAAGGUACGAUCAGCGGGAACCCGGUGUGUGUCCGCCCUUGCCUGGGUGCCGGGUUCACUGCAGAGGAUCGACCGCAUCUGGAGGAGGGGUCACAGUCGGUGACCUCAGGUGACAUCACCAAGGACCUGCCCAAAAGCUGUUUGUGAGCCAUCCCGCUGGUCUGUGAGUGAAGCAGUGUUCUGAAUGAUCAGUUGUUCCUAUUCUGUCUCUCUUCCCCCACCUUGUCCAUCGCCAUGGCAACGAUUACUGCGAACUGAACUACAAACUGGACUGAACUUUGAGUCAUUUUGAAAUUGGUCAUUUACCCCUAGACAACGAUAGAGCUUGAUUGAUGCUGUUAUCUUAAUUCUGUGCACAUGUGUGGUUAUCAUUGUUGAAUUGUUGCA